rnacentral:rRNA from 1 species
UGGUGCGGUCAUACCAGCGCUAAUACACCGGAU